AGUGAACGCUGGCGGUAGGCCUAACACAUGCAAGUCGAACGGCAGCACAGUAAGAGCUUGCUCUUACGGGUGGCGAGUGGCGGACGGGUGAGGAAUACAUCGGAAUCUACUUUUUCGUGGGGGAUAACGUAGGGAAACUUACGCUAAUACCGCAUACGACCUACGGGUGAAAGCAGGGGAUCUUCGGACCUCGCGCGAUUGAAUGAGCCGAUGUCGGUUUAGCUGGUUGGCGGGGUAAAGGCCCACCAAGGCGACGAUCCGUAGCUGGUCUGAGAGGAUGAUCAGCCACACUGGAACUGAGACACGGUCCAGACUCCUACGGGAGGCAGCAGUGGGGAAUAUUGGGCUAUGGGCGCAAGCCUGACCCAGCCAUACCGCGUGGGUGAAGAAGGCCUUCGGAUUGUAAAGCCCUUUUGUUGGGAAUGAAAAGCAGCAGGUUAAUACCCCGCUGUUCUGACGGUACCCAAAGAAUAAGCACCGGCUAACUUCGUG
rnacentral:rRNA from 1 species